UACAGCACAGCAGCAAAGCAGUGGGGAACAGGUGAUGAUUGCCAUGGUGAUGACACCACAGAUGACUCCAGCCAUGCGGGGACCAGUGUGAGACUGCUGGAGAUGAGAGCCAGCAAGCUGGAGGAGCAGGUCAGGGAGCUCACGGUAAGAGCCUCAAUGGUGAGAGGCCCUUUCUCACAAAGUCCGUUCUUUUUGUCCGAACAAUUAGUCUGUAAAAAUAUUUAUAUGAGCACGUCUUGUUUAUGGUGUCGUUCACACCAAUUGCAAAAUAUCGUCCUGCCUCAAUCUGUCAAUUAUUUAUACAGGUUGAAUUUUUGCGUCUUUUCGCAUGCGAAAAUAAGCUGUUGACCAAAAGAACGCGCACUGACACUGACAGGUCUGUGGAUUAUUUGUGUGAAUAAAAUAAUAAAUUUCUCUCUGCCAGUUUUUUACAUUUGCAAUGUAUCAAAGUUUAGCCAAUGGGAUCACGGCGUUCUCGCCAUUCAAACUUCCCCGCCAGUUCAUUGCCAACGCUAGCAAGUCAGAGGAUCGAUCUAUGCUUCUAUGCCUGGUAGGCUAUAUAUAGUUUUUAAAAAUGGCUUGAAAUAAGUUUCAAACUACAGUUGAAGUCGGAAGUUUACAUGCACAUAGAUUGGAGUCAUUAAAACUCGUUUUUCAACCACUCCACAAAUUUCUUGUGAUCAAACUAUAGUUUUGGCAAGUCGGUUAGGACAUCUACUUUGUGCAUGACACAAGUCAUUUUCCAGCAAUUGUUUACAGACAGAUUAUUUCAGGUAAAAUUCACUAUCACAAUUCCAGUGGGGCAGAAGUUUACAUGCGCUUAGUUGAUUGUGCCUUUAAACAGCUUGGAAAAUUUCUAAAAAUUAUGUCAUGGCUUUAGAAGAUUCUGAUAGGCUUAUUGACAUCAUUUGAGUCAGUUGGAGGUGUACCUGUGGAUGUAUUUCAAGGCCAACCUUCAAACUCAGUGCCUAUUUGCUUGACAUCAUGGGAAAAUUAAAAUAAAUCAGCCAAAACCUCAGAAAACCAAUUGUAGACCUCCACAAGUCUCCACAAGUCUGGUUUAUACUUGGGAGCAAUUUCCAAAUGUCUGAAGUUACCACAUUCAUCUGUACAAACAAUAGUACGCAAGUAUAAACACCAUGGGACCACGCAGCCUUCAUACCGCUCAGGAAGGAGACACGUUCUGUCUCCUAGAGAUGAAUGUACUGUGGUGCAAAAAGUCCAAAUCAAUCCCAGAACAACAGCAAAGGACCUUGUGAAGAUGCUGGAGGAAACAGGUACAGAAGUAUCUAUAUCCACAGUAAAACGAGUCCUAUAUCGACAUAACCUGAAUGGCCGCUCAGCAAGGAACAAGCUACUGCUCCAAAACCGCCAUUAAAAAGCCAGACUACAGUUUGCAACUGCACAUUGGGACAAAGAUUGUACUUUUUGGAGAAAUGUCCUCUGGUCUGAUGAAACGAAAAUAGAACUGUUUGGCCAUAAUGACCAUCGUUAUGUUUGGAGGAAAAAGGGGGAGGCUUGCAAGCAGAAGAACACCAUCCCAAUUUUGAAGGACGGAGGUGGCAGCAUCAUGUUGUGGGGCUGCUUUGCUGCAGGAGGGACUGGUGCACUUCACAAAAUAGAUGGCAUCAUGAGGCAGGAAAAUUAUGUGGAUGUAUUGAAGCAACAUCUCAAGACAUCAGUCAGGAAGUUAAAGCUUGGUUGCAAAUAGGUCUUCCAAAUGGACAAUGACCCCAAGCAUACUUUCAAAGUUGUGUCAAAAUGGCUUGAGGACAACAAAGUCAAGGUAUUGGAGUGGCCAUCACAAAGCCCUGACCUCAAUCCUAUAGAAAAUGUGUGGACUGAACUGAAAAAGCGUGUGCGAGCAAGGAGGCCUACCAACCUGACACCGUUACACCAGCUCUGUCAGGGGGAAUGGGCCAAAAUUCACCCAACUUAUUGUGGAAAGCUUGUGGAAGGCUACCUGAAAUGUUUGACCUUAGUUAAACAAUUUAAAGGCAAUGCUACCAAAUACUAAUUGAGUGUAUGUACACUUCUGACCCACUGGGAAUGUGAUGAAAUAAAUAAAAGCUGAAAUAAAUCAUUCUCUCUGCUAUAAUUCUGACAUUUUACGUUCUUAAAAUAAAGUGGUGAUCCUAAAUGACCUAAGACGGAAUUUUUACUUGAAUUAAAUGUCAGGAAUUGUGAAAAACUGAGUUUAAAUGUAUUUGGCUAAGGUGUGUGUAAACUUCCGACUUCUUCAACUGUGUAUAUAUAUGUAUUAUAUAGUCUGCUAAAGUGAAUCUGUGCUAUAGGCCGAGUAAAUACAGUGCAAGUUCUCCCACUUAAAAAAAGAUGAGAGGCCUGUAAUUUUCAUCAUGGUGUCCUUUGACAGCUCUUUGGUCUUGGCCAUAGUGGAGUUUGGAGUGUGACUGUUUGAGGUUGUGGACAGGUGUCUUUUAUACUGUCUUUUAUACUGAUAACAAGUUCAAAUAGGUGCCAUUAAUACAGGUAACGAGUGGAGGACAGAGGAGCCUCUUAAAGAAGAAGUUACAUGUUUGUGAGAGCCAGAAAUCUUGCUUGUUUGUAGGUGACCAAAUACUUAUUUUCCACCAUAAUUUGCAAAUAAAUUCAUAAAAAAUCCUACAAAGUGAUUUUCUGGAUUUUUUUUCUUCUCAUUUCGUCUGUCAUAGUUGAAGUGUACCUAUGAUGAAAAUUACAGGCCUCUCUCAUCUUUUUAAGUGGGAGAACUUGCACAAUUGGUGGCUGACUAAAUACUUUUUUGCCCCACUGUAUCUGCCAGAUUUGACCCUUAUCAAUAAGUGGUAGCACAGAUUAAGAUAAAGCACUCUACUCUAAUUAAAAAUGUAGUGUCAACAUAACCACCCAUUGCUUCACAAACAUGGAUCAACGGCUGAUCGUUGGGCUGUGGAUCAACGGCUGAUCGUUGGGCUGUGGAUCAACGGCUGACCGUUGGGCUGUGGAUCAACGGCUGGUCGUUGGGCUGUGGAUCAACGGCUGAUCGUUGGGCUGUGGAUCAACGGCUGAUCGUUGGGCUGUGGAUCAACGGCUGAUCGUUGGGCUGUGGAUCAACGGCUGAUCGUUGGGCUGUGGAUCAACGGCUGAUCGUUGGGCUAUGGACAGAAAGUUUCCUAUAACAAGGCCUAGUCUGUCUGGACUGCAUCUCUUUAAUCAGAUGGAAAGAGAACCUUAAGCAGCAAGCGUCAUGAUGGUCAGCAUUUUUUGCGUGGAGUGACGACAGGUGCCGGGUUUUUGCAUUUUCUCACGUAGUAAAUGGGGUGGACUGAAUGAAACGUGGCCAAGCACCUUUCAUGAUUCAUCCUAUAAGAUGAAAAGCUUAACCUAAUGUUUUGCCUUUAUCAUAUUGUUUCUCCAAUGGUGUAUGAUUUUUCUCUCAUUACUGCGUCCUCUCCAGCCACGUUGAACAACAUAUUGCCUCAGAGAAUGACCGCAGCAGUGUUGGUGACGUUAAUGCGAAUUUAGGAGGAAAGUGGAGGGGAAAACGCACCAUAGUUGGUGUGAAUGGUUCAGUGCAGGGGUGUCCAUCUCAUUCCAUGGAGGGCCUAGUGCAGGCUUCCCCCAACUGGUGUCCCUCGGCUGAAUCUAGUUGAAGAUCCCUGGCUUAGUGUCUGCAGGUUUGGGGGUUUUCCUUUCAAUGAAGACCUAGACAACCAGGUGAAGAGUUACUUAUUAAUUAGUGACUUUAUUUCAUCAAUCAAGCACAAGGGAAGAGCAAAGAUUCGCAGACACUCAGCCCUCUGUGGAAUGAGUUUGAGAUGUUGUUUAGUGCGUCCAACAUCUGAAUCUGUGUAUAUAUAAAUAUUUAUAUUUAAUUUUUUUCACGGAAGCUGUAUUGUAUUCUAGGAAAGAUACAAAAGAGUCCUGGCUGAUUCUGACAACGUUCGAAGAAGAACUCAGAAGUUUGUUCAAGACGCCAAGCUGUU